rnacentral:rRNA from 1 species
GAUGAACGCUGGCGGCGUGCCUAAUAAAUGCAAGUCGAGCGAACAGAUGAGGAGCUUGCUCCUCUGACGUUAGCGGCGGACGGGUGAGUAACACGUGGAUAACCUACCUAUAAGACUGGGAUAACUUCGGGAAACCGGAGCUAAUACCGGAUAAUAUAUUGAACCGCAUGGUUCAAUAGUGAAAGACGGUUUUGCUGUCACUUAUAGAUGGAUCCGCGCCGCAUUAGCUAGUUGGUAAGGUAACGGCUUACCAAGGCAACGAUGCGUAGCCGACCUGAGAGGGUGAUCGGCCACACUGGAACUGAGACACGGUCCAGACUCCUACGGGAGGCAGCAGUAGGGAAUCUUCCGCAAAGGGCGAAAGCCUGACGGAGCAACGCCGCGUGAGUGAUGAAGGUCUUCGGAUCGUAAAACUCUGUUAUUAGGGAAGAACAAAUGUGUAAGUAACUAUGCACGUCUUGACGGUACCUAAUCAGAAAGCCACGGCUAACUACGUG